rnacentral:rRNA from 1 species
GUGGGGAAUAUUGGACAAUGGGCGCAAGCCUGAUCCAGCAAUGCCGCGUGGAUGAAGAAGGUCUUCGGAUUGUAAAGUCCUUUCGGCGGGGACGAUGAUGACGGUACCCGCAGAAGAAGCCCCGGCUAACUUCGUGCCAGCAGCCGCGGUAAUACGAAGGGGGCUAGCGUUGCUCGGAAUGACUGGGCGUAAAGGGCGCGUAGGCGGUUUGAUCAGUUAGGUGUGAAAUUCCUGGGCUUAACCUGGGGGCUGCACUUAAUACGGUCAGGCUAGAGUGUGAAAGAGGGUCGUGGAAUUCCCAGUGUAGAGGUGAAAUUCGUAGAUAUUGGGAAGAACACCGGUGGCGAAGGCGGCGACCUGGUUCAUUACUGACGCUGAGGCGCGAAAGCGUGGGGAGCAAACAGGAUUAGAUACCCGGGUAGUCC